UCAGAAAUCUCUCUCUCCUCACGCUCUCUCUCGCGCGACUUUCCCCCUCCCCUUCGUUUUUCUUCAGCCGCAGCCUCCACCCGCCAUAGCCACCGCCUCCGACCACCAGAAUCCACGGCACCAGAGCCAAAAGGACCGGCCAGACCUCGCCUUCGAAACCCUGGCCAUCUCCAGCCUGCAACCGCCGUCGAGACCACCGGAAAUCGCAGAAAACAGGCCGGAAAAUCGCGGAACUUCCAAGCCUUCGUUCUCUCUCAAUUCUCCACCGAUUUCGACAAGUGAGGUAAUCCGACUCCUCCUUCAUAGCAGGCAGGACCCUCUCAGGGUCACGCAGCUUGGGAUUACUUCCAGUAGUGACUGGAACGAGCCGCAGUGCCGUGUUUUGUGCUCCUAUUUGCACGAGUUUCAGUACUUGAGCCUUCUCAGAGCCUCUGUGCUAUGUAAAAUCGUUAAACUUCCUUCCUACUUGUAAAUUUUUGAAUUCUGUUAGUUGCUCUGUUAUUACCCUGUUAGGAUGUGAUUUUUGAGGCCGGAGGCCAUGGUUUGUAACACUAUGCUUUGUGUAAUACAUGCUGGCUGUUGGGUUGUUUU